rnacentral:lncRNA from 1 species
UCACGUCAUCUUCAUCGGCCGGAUCUUCGUCGGUCAAAAUGUUACUACAUAGCAAAUAAAGGAUCCUUUAUUACAGGAUACUUUAAUAAAGGACAAAUACAGGACGGGUCUAAAAGAGAGUUGCGGUUAAAACUCGCCCUGAUGGAAUACAAUGUUGCCUAAUUUACUGUUCCGUUCCGUCACAAAUCGUCUGUCAUUCAAGUCAUUCUGCCAAAAACAAAUUUGUUUGGUUUUGUUUUCAAAAUUGUUGAAGUUCUAUUUUCUAUUUGGUUCUAUUUUUUAGUCAUGAAGUUAAGUAGUAUCGUGGGAUAUUUGAAGUUCUUGGGUACUGAAAAUUCAAGAAGUUUUAGAAGGAAAACAAGUUUUAAACUCUGGUCAUCUUAUUUUGGCUGGAAAAAUAGAUGAAAGUUCUCAGCAUACCAUCAAAAUAUAUGGUUUAUUCCUUCAGUAAGGUCCAAUCCCCACGAAAUUAAAGGAACCCUAUCUUUCACAAAUGGCAUGAGUAUUAGCCAAAUGUUAUGUUCUUGUAAAGCAGAAAAUAGUGGAAAAUGUAAACAUGUCUACUCUUGCUAAAUUUAAGUAUAAGGGAAGAUGUGAAAUUAAUGGAACAUUCAGUACAUGAGUUGAAAAAAAUGUUAACAAAUUGGCAAAUGAAGACCAUUUUUAAUUGAUCUAAACCUUUAUAGAAACAAAGUAUAUGGUUAAUAUAAAAUAUUACCUGCCUGAAGUAACCUGGUGUACAAAUCAAUAGUAACCAUAAUUUUUAUUCCCAGGGCCAGUGAGAAACAAUGUGCAUUUCAUUUCUAAGUGUUCUAAGGAAAGAUCUUGUAAGCAUAAAUAGAUCUGUACAAUGAAGAUUAACCUAAUCUGUUUAACCAUUGAAAUUAUUGUAUUGUUAUAAAAAUAAUAAAUCUCCAUUUCAUAUUAUGUACACUUACAUACAUUAGCCUGGAAUUUCAUUGUGUCUACAGUAGUGGCCAUAGUCACAAACCUACCCUAGUCUACGGAGGUACUGUCUUUCGCAGAUGUGGUAAUACCGGGUUUGAUACAUUAUUGCUAAAUAAAGUUUGUGAAUAGUAACUUUUCACAAAGUAGACAGUUUUAAUAGUUUUCACUGUACUUAAAUCUUUUUUACAUUCAGUGGUAAUAACAUUAUAUUUUGUUUUGGUAUUUAAAUUUACCUAAAUAUUUACAGAAAUAUGCUAUACUAAAUUCAAGAUGCAGUAGAAAUAAACAAACCAAAACACGUUAAAUGCUACUAUGAGCACUCCGAAAUCAUAAUUUACAAUGUACAGUAGACUCUCAUAAGUUCGGCCUCGGUUAGUUCGGUCUCUGCUUAGUCCGGCCGGCUCUCUGAGCAUUAGUCACACACUUUGCACAUCAAAAAUCAUUAGAAAAGAAAAUUCAGAAAAAAAUUACUGACUUUUUUUAAGUGUUUAAGAAGCCAAACCACCAAUGUGCAAUAUUUUUAAAUUUUAUUAGGCCUAGAGUUCUGUAAGUAUUGCUUUAUAGUAUUUUUGUAACGGUCUAUCUUUUCAAAUGUGUUAAAUAUGUCAGAGUAUUCCUCUGUGUUGUCUUCUACUUAAUGUACAAGUGUUUUGUUUUUGCUAGAUCCAUACAAACAAUAAAUGGGCAUUUUUUAGAUAAGCAUCGGUUAGUUCGGCCACUUUUAAGUUCGGCCUAGGGUCCGGUCCCGAGGUGGCCGAACUUAAGGGAGUCUACUGUAUAUACAUUGUAAAUCCCAAAUCAUGAUUUCCAAAGUUUAUACAUUGUAAAUUAUGAUUCGGGAGUGCUCCUAAUAGUAGUAUUUAACUUGUCUUGAUUUGUUUAUUUCUACUGAAUCUUAAUUUUAAAUUUAGUGUAGAUGUAUCCAUCAUAGGACUCUUACUUAUAGAUGCAAUAAAAUUAUUGCAUCAUAAAAAUAUAAAAUCAUUGCUUUAUUUUCAUUUUAAAUGUUAUACUUCCAGUAUUGUAUGUAGUACCUAGUAUUAAAACAGAUAUUUUUAAUUAAAAAUAUAAGUAUCUUAUUUUUGUAAUGAACAACAUUAAAUUUACUUCUUGCGGGAGUAGAAAAAAGUUAUAGUAAAUAUUUUUAACUCGUUUAGCUUUUGAUGAUAUUUGCCAUACGUUUGUGUAAGACAUGUUUAACGAGUAGUCUAAGGGCAUAUUAUUAUGCUUUGUUAUACAAAAUAGACAUAAAAUUUUGAAACUUUCAGCUUCACUUUUUCAUUGUUUCAAUAUUAAAUCCCAAAUUUAGACUCUCCACCAUUUUCUCAUAAAAAAGUAUGUUCAGUUUUUACCCCAGGUAGACCGAAACCACCAAAAAAUUGAUGUUACUAAAUGUGUUUCAUCAGAUACACAAAAUAAAUGCAACUGAUUAUGUGCAGAUAGUGGUGUCCCUUUUAAUUUUUAUUCCUAAAAACUUUACUGUUAAACCAAAGUUUUAGUUAAAAAAAAAAACAAAAUGUUUGCUUUCUGUGUGGAGUUACAAAAAUAAGUUGAAAUGCUAUUUAAUUUCGUAUUAUAUCCUGGUGAUCCUCUGCCAUACUAAUUUUACAUUGUUCUUACAUGCAAGCAUUUGUAAAUUAAUUUACCAUUAAAGGGCGGCCCAAGGUAUAUUCAUCUUAAAUGGGUGGUUGUAGUUUUGUAUAUUUUAUUUUUAUUUUAGUUUUGUAAUAUUUUUAAGAACAAAUAAAAUAAUUAUAAUUAUUCUGAA